rnacentral:rRNA from 1 species
UACGGGGGGGGCAAGCGUUGUUCGGAAUUACUGGGCGUAAAGGGCUCGUAGGCGGCCAACUAAGUCAGACGUGAAAUCCCCAGGCUUAACCUGGGAACUGCAUUUGUGACUGCAUGGCUGGAGUGCGGCAGAGGGGGAUGGAAUUCCGCGUGUAGCAGUGAAAUGCGUAGAUAUCAGGAGGAACACCGGUGGUGUAGACGGCUAUCUGGACCGUAACUGACGCUGAGGCACGAAAGCGUGGGUAGCAAACAGG